GGGUUCAGGAGGUCACCAGGUCGAUUCGAACAACACCUACAUGGCUCUGCAACAUCCCACUCAGUCCAUCUACGGUCAUCUCCAAGCUGACAAUAAGCCACUGUCUACCAGCUGAACCACAGUGAGAAUCAUUUGUGUGGCCUCAGCUGGGGGGAGGAGCCCCGGAUGGAUUUCUGCACAGACACACUCAUCGGACG